rnacentral:lncRNA from 1 species
GCGGGAAGCCAUAGAGCGUCAUAAGGCAUGACCCUAUCCCAGCGCUGCUAGAGGACCCCUAUUUGUGACCAAUUGUAAGAUCAUCUGAAGAUCGAGUCCGAUUGCCUGGCCAGGCCGGGCUGGGUGGUAUGUGCCCCCGUCACGCCGGAGGUUCCUGCUUUAGCGACGCCAAAGAUUGGGUGUGAGGGCAGCCCGCGGUGACAGAGACACGGAUCGGACCGAGAGAAAAAGGCUGUGGGCUUCACUGAGCAGAGUGACGUCAAUUCACAGGACCUCCACAGUGUGCCUUUUGCUGGGUAGGAAAAUGCCAGCCAGCUUGGAAAACAAGAAGACACAUUUAUGUCUACCAUGAGCAUUGGCAUCAGCCAAUUAUCCCACACGUUUUCGGCUAGUCAGUGCUGAAGAGAGCAAGGUCAGUACUCUUUUAGCUGAAAGACCUAGGAGUUAACUAAGUGUGGCACUUUCUGUGUCAAUUUCAAAGUAUUUU